CCUACGGGUGGCAGCAGUGGGGAAUAUUGCGCAAUGGGCGAAAGCCUGACGCAGCGACGCCGCGUGAGGGAUGAAGGUCUUCGGAUCGUAAACCUCUGUCAGCAGGGAAGAACGGUCACUGUGCUAAUCAGCAGUGAAUUGACGGUACCUGCAAAGGAAGCACCGGCUAACUCCGUGCCCGCAGCCGCGGUAAUACGGAGGGUGGGAGCGUUAAGCGGAAUUACUGGGCGUAAAGCGCUCGUAGGCGGUAUGUCAAGUCAAGGGUGAAAUACCCGCGCUCAACGUGGGAAGUGCCUUUGAAACUGGCAAACUGGAGUGUGUGAGAGGUAAGUGGAAUUCCAGGUGUAGGAGUGAAAUCCGUAGAUAUCUGGAGGAACAUCAGUGGCGAAGGCGACUAUCUGGCACAUAACUGACGCUGAGGAGCGAAAGCGUGGGUAGCAAACAGGAUUAGAUACCCUUGUAGUC
rnacentral:rRNA from 1 species